CCGUUAAACGUGUAACAGUAAGCUGACGUGACAAUUUAAAUUAUCAUUUCAAACAAAAAAUUUAGGUUAAAUUAUAUAAUUGGUCCCCAUAUUUUUUCUUUUUGAGCAAUUUAUUUUUUCUUUUAUGUUCUUUUAACUUUCCUUUAUUUUUUCUUUAUCUUCCAUUCCAUUAUUUUCUACUUCUCUCCCUCUAUUUUCCUCUCUUCUCCAUCUAUUUUAACGUAAAAGUAAAAAAUUAAAUUACUCAAAACGAAAAAAAAAUAUAGGAACCAAUUGUAUAAUUUAACCUAAAAUUUUUACUUGAAAUGAUGAUUUAACACGCCACAUCAGCUUACUGUUACACCGUUAACAG
rnacentral:pre_miRNA from 1 species